UGGGUGAUCUGCCCUGCACUUUGGGAUAAGCCUGGGAAACUGGGUCUAAUACCGGAUAACACUCUGUCCCGCAUGGGACGGGGUUAAAAGCUCCGGCGGUGAAGGAUGAGCCCGCGGCCUAUCAGCUUGUUGGUGGGUAAUGGCCUACCAAGGCGACGACGGGUAGCCGGCCUGAGAGGGCGACCGGCCACACUGGGACUGAGACACGGCCCAGACUCCGUACGGGAGGCA
rnacentral:rRNA from 1 species